AGGACCCUUAUUCUUUGCACUAGUUGAGCUGUGGUUUAGAAAAGGAAUGGAAUCAUUGAUCCAAUUCUCCACUAAUCAUGAACAGCAACCCUAUGAAUGUUACAUUCAUGAAGAUCCACUGAACACAGGCUCGACAAGCCAACUUACCCCAGAGAUGACAAAAAACCUUAUCAAUGCCUUGUGGCAACUGCAAUACAGGUAGGAAAGGAUGAAACUCUGUGAGUAUACAAAGGGCAGGGAAAAUCAAGGAUUGAGGAUUGCCUUUAUUAUAACUAUGUCUGUAGACUAGUAUGUAGUAAGCUGUACAUACAGAGAAAAAAGGCAGAAUCACAGAAUUGUCUAGGUUAGAAGAGACCCCAAGAUCAUCGAGUCCAACCUCUGACCUAAGACUAACAAGUCUUCCAUUAAACCAUAUCGCUAAGUUCAACAUCUAAACGUCUUUUAAAGACUUCCAGGGAUGGUGACUCAACCACUUCCCUGGGCAGCCCAUUCCAAUGCCUCACAACCCUCUCAGUAAAGAAGUUCUUCCUAACAUCCAACCUAAAACCCCCUGGUGCAACUUAAGCCCAUUCCCCCUCGUCCUGUCACCAGGCACGUGGGAGAACAGACCAACCCCCACCUCGCUACAGCCUCCUUUAAGAUCAUCGAUGAAGAUAUUAAAGAGGACCGGCCCCAGCACCGAGCCCUGGGGGACGCCACUAGUGACCGGCCUCCAACUGGACUUGGCUCCAUUCACCACGACUCUUUGGGCCCGAGGGCUGCCGGGUCCUGGCGGCUCCCUGAAGUAGGCUCGGUGCCGGAAAAUUAGCCCUGCCUGUCAGGUAUCAUACUGGUAUCUGUUUAUUGUAGUUAAUUCAUCUGGAAGUUUGCUUUAGGAUGUUAUUGAAACUGAAGUUCUUUGUAUUCAUGGUAGACUUUCAGCAGUGUCCUUAUGAUAUACAGAUAUACCCUCCUCUUUAUUUCUCCUACCCACUUUCUUCCUACUCAAUUUACACUAUUUGCUUGAUGAAACCACUUUUUGCAGCUGAAAUGCAGUUAGGGCAAACAUACAAACUUAGUAAGUGAGCAUAUACUUUUUGUACACGAAAUACGAAUACUCAUUACCUCUCACAGUAUGCUGGCAAGGCAAGCACCUACAAUAGGAGACUUGAGAUAAUGAAGUUUAAUAAUUUUUCCAUUGAAAAUGAAAAGCUAGUCACUUUGAACUCAAGAACUGUAGGCAUUGAAAGACUUUGAUGGUACUAUGUUUGUAGGGCAACUCAAUUAUUUAUAUGGCAACCACUGCUGUAAUCCGUUAUCACUUCAAGAAUCUGUAAGUAGUUGUCUUCACAUUCCUCGGAGGUUAAAAUAACCCAUUAAACCUUAACUUAUAGUGGCUUUCUGAGGUUACACAGGAAGCAUAAUGUACUAUGGGAACACAAUUAGGAUUUGGACUCUAACCCAAUGUUAGUUUAGGAUUGUGAGGACAUAGCAAAAUCAGAUUAAAUAUUCUCCUUGGGUUAUAGCCUUCCUAUCUCCAGCUACCAGAUUUCUAGGAUUCCAUUGAUCCCCAAAAAUGUUGUAGACACCUGGAAAAAAUUUUCUUCAUAUCUCUACACCUACAAAGACUUCAGAGGGUUAUCCAGGUUCAAAUGAUGGCUAUGUUCAUCCAUGCCAUGAUCAACACUGCACAGUAAAAGCAAGCUACUAACGUCUGAACACACUGAAAAGUUUCUGUGAAAUAAAGAGCAAACAGAUCUACAAAGGUCUUUAAAGCCUCAAUGAAAGGACAAAUUCAGGGAAAUACUUAAGCCUCUUCACAACCUCUAGGUAUUGGCUUUCAAGGAUUGUAGAUGAAGCAAUUUUAUAUGUUUGGAAUGCGCUCUGUACAGGGUAAUUCAAUAUAGCAAAAACCAGCCAAAGGAUAAUGGUCAGGAACACACAACACAUGACAUAAAGAAACCAUCCAGGGCACAGAGUAAGCAGGCUGCAGUGCAAGCCACAAAGGUUUUCUCAGACCAUUGCACUGUUCAAACAUCCAUUCACCUCUGAAGUAUAUCAGCAGGAGCUGUCUGGCUACAUUUCAAAAUGACUUUCUUUGGUUUCCAUUCAGGCUGAAAUGGACAAACUGUUUAACGCUGUUUUACAAAUACAAGGAGCCUUAUUUUCUCUCUCCCAGUGUGGGAAGAGAAAGUGAAGACUGGUGGAAGACUGGUGGUCUAAAUCCCAGUUCUCCCAUGUGUACCAAAUGAAUCAGAUCUGGCAGACAAGCAGAUGGUAUGUGAUUUAAACAUUUCAUUGCUCUCUUAACCUUGCCUAAUGAAUAAUUUGGAACUAAUUGCAGAUUGUGUAAAUACAGCUCACCACACAGAAUCACACACACACACAGAAUUUCUAGGUUGGAAGAGACCUCAAGAUCAUCAAGUCCAACCUCUGACCUAACACUAACAGUCCCCACUAAACCAUAUCCCUAAGCUCUACAUCUAAACGUCUUUUAAAGACUUCCAGGGAUGGUGACUCCACCACCUCCCUGGGCAGCCUGUUCCAGUGCCUAACAACCCUUUCAGUAAAGAAAUUCUUCCUAACAUCUAACCUAAAACUCCCCUGGCACAACUUAAGCCCAUUCCCCCUUGUCCUGUCACCAGGCACGUGGGAGAACAGUCCAAUCCCCACCUCGCUACAGCCUCCUUUAAGGUAUCUGUAGAGAGCGAUAAGGUCGCCCCUGAGCCUCCUCUUCUCCAGGCUGAACAAGCCCAGCUCCCUCAGCCGCUCCUCGUAGGACUUGUUCUCCAGGCCCCUCACCAGCUUUGUCGCCCUUCUCUGGACCCGCUCAAGCACCUCCAUGUCCAUCUUGUAGCGAGGGGUCAUCAUUUAUGACUCAAGUAGCAAAUGCUUCGUUGAAAUGGUACCUUCAUCUUUGUGUCUGUAUUCAGACAGUAUGAAGUCUGUUGAGGGAAAUCCAACAGAGAGCAUUCCUGUGGGGAGCAAGUUUCUUGAGUUUGCAACACCCUACCUAUUUGCUUAAGCUCUCUGUGUGUAUUUUAAUUUUUAGAAGAAAGCAGAUAUUUAUUUUCAAUGACAUGACCUAAAAAAUAGGCUAAAGAGUGCUUACUAUGUAUGUAAUUUUUUUUUGUAACACUUUUUUUUUUUUUUUUCCAGCAUGGACCAAGCAUCAGAUUAGCAGUUAUAGCUUCUGUAAAACAAACCAAAAUGGCACGUGCAAUUCCACUACACUAAGAGAUGAGUUUGUAGCAGUACAAGUUGGGUUUCAUUGGAAUUCUAAGAGAUGCUGGGAAUUAGUUUCACUUUCCACAAUUUCUUAUUUUUUGCUUUCAAAGUACAUAAUCAUAUAGUAAUUCAAAGAGAAUACAUGAAAAGGAAGUAGCUUGUCAUUACAUUAAUGUGUUGCUAAUGAUAACUAGCUGAUUAAGUACCACUUUUUCUCAAAUUUAUCUGAUGCCUACCUCCUUGUGUCUUGAUCUUGAGCUACCACUAGGUUUACCAUCAUCAGCAACCAAUACCGUGCAAUCCCAGGGCAAGAAGUAUUCUUAAGAUAUUCCAUCAAGGGGUUUUAUUGUUGUUGUUUUGUGUUUUGUUUGUUGUGUGUUUUUGUGUUGUGUUUUUUUUUUAACCAAGAUUAAAUCUCCAGGAUUAGCCAUGAAUUGUAUUUCAAACAAGAAAUUUAGUUAUUAUUCAGGAGCAAAAUUUCAACAAAUAAGGGUAAAAACAUGCAUGAAUACAGUUACUGUGAGGAGUAAAAUGCACAUAACAGUGCACAGACAAAGCAUCAUCAGCUCUAAUCCCUGCCAGUGCAAUGAAGAAUCAGACUUCGAGCAGGACAACAAAAGAUGAUGUUUUUUCAUCAAUAACUGUGAAAGACUUUGGUCUUAUAUGGUACCUUUGGCAGCAACAUGAAUCUUCAGUGCAUUCAGAGCAAAAGAAACACAGAAACCUUUUGGAUUUAAAGAGAAUUUUAUCCUCAGGGAAAGAAAAACAUGCUCACAAAGUUCCUAUCACUCCAGAUUCGGGUCCUAAUAUAGUAAAGAUGUGCUAGAUUGUUCUUUUGGAAAGAAGUGUUUCUAUACAUACGUAAAUACUACCUGAAGUUUUCUACUAUGGAAAAAUGUUCCCUUGUCCAAUAAAACAACUCUCCCUCUCACCUAUAUAUACACGUGUACAUACAUACGUUUCCAUGGUUUUCCUUCUAUCUUCAUAAAGCAUAUUAAAUGCUGUUUUCUUUGAUCUAUUUAAGACCAUGUAGCUGUUCAUCUUUGUAGCAUGUUAAAAAAAGGCAAUGGCAAGCACUUUUGUGACAAAUGGGCUAGGUUUGUAGCCAUUGCAGAGAAGUUCUGUAUCACAAAUUAAUUUGGAAAAACAGAUAGUGGCUAUCUACACAGAUAUGUAUAGUCCUUAAAGCCGACAUUGAAUGGAGUAAUUUCCAUUUGUAUUUUUAAUUAUGAAGCCUAAGCAAUAUGUUAUUUUGUUUAAAUAAAGUCUUUAUUACAGUGAUGCUGAAUUUACUUUCAUAUCCACAUCAAAGAAAUGCAAUUUACAUAGUGGUUUUAAAUUAAUUCUGUUGUGUUUUCUAGCUAUAAAUAAAUUACCCUUUCAGUGAUGUUAGACUAUUGUUUGUGAUACAGUGCUUCAUUACAAGAGACAUAGGAAAAUAAAUGUAUAAGAUAUGGGUUUAGAUUACCAGUCAAGAUAUAUCCUUUUUCUCCCUGAGUGGUAUAGUAACUUUGGUCAUUUUCAAGAUGAGAUCAUUAUUUAACUCCAUCAACUCAACCAAAUUAAAUCUGACUUACACAUCACAUUAGUAAGGGUACCAUUAGGUCAAAUACUAGAAAAAUUACUUAUUUAUAUCUCUAAUUACAGCUUACUGUUGAGCUCUUGUCCUUGAGGAACUUUUUUUCAGAAGAUAGGCAACACAAACUUGAUAAAUUCUUUAUGAAAUGCAGGAACUCCUUCAUCUUUGGAACCAGGGAAGCAAUGAUGUCUGCUUUGCCAAGCAAAAAAGGUGGCCCUGCAAAGAUAACAGCAUAGCAUGCUCAGGAAAAUAUGUUUUAAUAAGCCUGAAAUUAACUGAACUGUUCAGAAUUAACUGAAAUGUUCUAUUUGAAUUCCAUCAUAUAGACACAAGUAUAUAAAAUAUAACAGCUAAAAUGGUCAAUCUGGCUGGUAUAUACCUCAAGAUAUUUAUUCAGCAGUUGUAAUAUUGAUAAGGCUUAAAUUCCUGAAGAACAAACAGAAAUCUAAUUAGAUUACCACUCAGACCAUCAAAAAUGGACAUAAAAUUCAAGCUUUUGAAUCUGUCUCCUGAGAUGAACUUCAGAUUGAUUAGAUUCCACAGGAAAGCAAAUGUAAAAAAGAUUAAAAAAAUGAGCAACAAGGUAGGUAGCAGGGACAAAUCCAUAGUAAAAACAACAUUUAAUCUUCUUUAAAAAUAAAAAUUGCUUACUUAUUGCUUAAAUAAAAAUUGCUUGCUUACUUUUCUGGUUUGUACUGUUGCAUUACAAAGAAAUGAAUAAAACAAUGAUGUCUCCCUUAUGCUAGUUUUGGUUCUCCACACCUUAAUCCUUU
rnacentral:lncRNA from 1 species